AUUGAACGCUGGCGGCAGGCCUAACACAUGCAAGUCGAGCGGAGCGGCGGACGGGUGCGUAAUGCCUAGGAAUCUGCCUGUUCGUGGGGGAUAACGUCCGGAACCGGGCGCUAAUACCGCAUCCUAUCAGAUGAGCCUAGGACGUAUUAGCUAGUUGGGGGGGUAAAGGCCUACCAAGGCGACGAUCCGUAACUGGUCUGAGAGGAUGAUCAGUCACACAGGAAUUGAGACACGGUCAAGACACCUACGGGAGGCAGUAGUGGGGAAUAUUGGACAAUGGGCGAAAGCCUGAUCCAGCCAUGCCGCGUGUGUGAAGAAGGUCUUCGGAUUGUAAAGCACUUUAAGUUGCGAGGCGUUCCCAACAGAGUAAGUACUGGCUAACUUCGUGUCAGCAGCCGCGGUAAUAC
rnacentral:rRNA from 1 species